rnacentral:tRNA from 1 species
AGCUUUUUAUUUUAUUUUUUAAAUUUUUGUUUGUGUUACAUUAGAUUUUUUAGCUA